AAGAAAGAAAGAAAGAAAGAAAGAAGAUACUGGUAGUUUUUAAAAUAUUGCUACACAAAUAUUUUCAAACUG